AUGAACCGUGAACUUCCUGAUGUUCAAGCUGGUUUUAGAAAAGGCAGAGGAACCAGAGAUCAAAUUGCCAACAUCCACUGGAUCAUCGAAAAAGCACAAGAGUUCCAGAAAAACAUCUGUUUCUGCUUUAUUGACUAUGCCAAAGCCUUUGACUGUGUGGAUCACAAUAAACUGUGGAAAAUUCUGAAAGAGAUGGAAAUACCAGACCACCUAACCUGCCUCUUGAGAAAUCUGUAUGCAGGCCAGGAAGCAACAGUUAGAACUGGACAUGGAACAACAGACUGGUUCCAAAUAGGAAAAGGAGUCCGUCAAGGCUGUAUAUUGUCACCCUGCUUAUUUAACUUUUAUGCAGAGUACAUCAUGAGAAACGCUGGACUGGAAGAAACACAAGCUGGAAUCAAGAUUUCCGGGAGAAAUCUCAAUAACCUCAGAUAUGCAGAUGGCACCACCCUCAUGGCAGAAAGUGAAGAGAAACUAAAAAGCCUCUUGAUGAAAGUAAAAGAGGAGAGUGAAAAAGUUGGCUUAAAGCUCAACAUUCAGAAAACGAAGAUCAUGGCAUCCGGUCCCAUCACUUCAUGGGAAAUAGAUGGGGAAACAGUGGAAACAGUGUCAGACUUUAUUUUUUGGGGCUCCAAAAUCACUGCAGAUGGUGACUGCAGCCAUGAAAUUAAAAGACGCUUGCUCCUUGGAAGAAAAGAUAUGAGCAACCUAGAUAGCAUAUUCAAAAGCAGAGACAUCACUUUGCCGACUAAGGUCUGUCUAGUCAAGGCUAUGGUUUUUCCUGUGGUCAUGUUUGGAUGUGAGAGUUGGACUGUGAAGAAGGCUGAGCGCCGAAGAAUUGAUGGUUUUGAACUGUGGUGUUGGAGAAGACUCUUGAGAGUCCCUUGGACUGCAAGGAGAUCCAACCAGUCCAUUCUGAAGGAGAUCAGCCCUGGGAUUUCUUUGGAAGGAACGAUGCUAAAGCUGAAACUCCAGUACUUUGGCCACCUCAUGCGAAGAGUUGACUCACUGGAGAAGACUUUGAUGCUGGGCGUGAUUGGGGGCAGGAGGAGAAGGGGAGGACAGAGGAUGAGAUGGCUGGAUGGCAUCACUGACUUGAUGGAUGUGAGUCUGAGUGAACUCCAAGAGUUGGUGAUGGACAGGGAGGCCUGGCGUGCUGCGAUACAUGGCGUCGCAAAGAGUCGGACCCGACUGACCGACUGA
rnacentral:lncRNA from 1 species